GGAGAGAUGUCCGAGUGGCUGAAGGAGCACGCCUGGAAAGCGUGUAUAGGGGCAACUCUAUCAGGGGUUCAAAUCCCCUUCUCUCCGCCA
rnacentral:tRNA from 1 species